rnacentral:lncRNA from 1 species
GCCGUAAGGUUUGCAGGCCUCCCCCGCCCUCCGCCCUUCCUUGUUUUGGUUCACUCUCUUGGCUUCCUCCUCCGCUGUCGCAGUUCCAGAAGAUGCGUCCAGCCACAACAAAGCUCUGAGGACCCGGGGAGCAUUUCUUCCCAGGGCUAUCACAAGUGAGAGAACGCUUUCCAGAAACCUCCCAGGAAGACUUCCCUUCACAUCUUGUUGGACAGAAUGAGAUGCCUCAUAAGGAAGAAGGGGCCACACUCCCGCCCAGGAUGCCUGUCCCUAACCCAGUGCUUCCACAGACCCAGCCCAUCAGAUUCAGGGCUAUCCCAGGCACAGGGAGGCAAUACCACUCGUCUGAAACAGUAACUUCCACUGUGGGCAAAUGAGAAAGUCAAACCUCAUGCCUUUUGAUCAGACAGGACGGAGUAUUUUUAUGGUCAAGCGGCCAUGUAGCAGUAGGAAGAAGACUGAGAAACUGGGACGCAAAACACAAACUCAGCCACAGUGUUGCGAGCGUUCUAGGAAGGGCCCCACCCCUGGGAGGCAGCGCGCUGAGCAGGUCCCGCAGGCUGCAGUGGAGUCACAGUGCGCAACGCCAUUGUAGAGCAGGUGCCUUGGUGUUGCCCACGCCACAAACAUGUUAUGGGACCCUGACAGUCUCUCUCUCUCCACAUCUGUUGCUUUACCUGAAAUAGGGUUCCUUUCCAUUUUCUUGCUCCACUUUUUUUUCCGAGACAAACCAGAAAGCAUCAGUAAAGAAAUCUAAGUUUCUACAAGUUACUGCCAACUUUCAUGAAAUCUGUGUAAUUUUAAAUGUCUUUUAACCAUUGCCAAGAUAAGAAGCAAAGGAGUCAGGUUUCUCUUCCGCAGGUCAAAUGCAGCCGCCCAUCUGUUCAAGCCUGCGUAUCAGGACCUGGAAGCCCCAUGCAGACCCAUCUACUCUGUCAUUCUUUUCAUCUGUUGCUUUUCAAUCGGUAUGGUUUUUCCCUACCAUUCUGAAUUCAGGUUUCACUACAUUAUACUUUUUUGGCCUCAUAAAAAUGAGGCACAAGGUAUAAUAUAUAUGGCUAAUUUUAAAUUUAAGCAAUGCAAGUAGAUAUUGAAUGAUAAAAACAUUUAAAAUCCUCAUUCUAUUACUCAUGUAAGAGGAUCAGCGGAGUCUUUCAGAGGAAGAGCAAGGUUUUAAAGCCAAAACCACAAAGGGAAGGGUGUACCUGAGUGUUAGUAUAUAAACCUUUCACUCUGAUGGCUUGAGGUCAAGACUUGGUUAGUUCAAAAGUGAAUGAAUGUUUGGAUUCUUCACCUCCUACCUAGUAAAUAUUUAUUCCGAUUAUAAAAUGGCAAGAAACACUGGCACAACCAACAUUCUCUGCUUGAGAGAAGCUAC